rnacentral:SRP_RNA from 1 species
CCGUGCAGGUGGGGGGCUAGCGGUCCCCUGUAUCCACAACCCGCUCUAGGUGGAGCCCAUGGGCCUCCCGAGAGGAAGGGGAGACGGAAGCGGACGGGGACACCCGGGCGAUGACGGUCGAGCCCCCUGCGACGCACACCGGUGAACCCCGCUAGGCCCGGAAGGGAGCAACGGUAAGCCGGUCCCUGCGGGUGAUAGGGGAUCCCUUGGCCUGAGCCCGGACCCCCGGAGCGCCCGGCGAACCGGCCCCGACGGAGGCCCGCACGG